AUUGAACGCUGGCGGCAGGCCUAACACAUGCAAGUCGAGCGAGCGGCGGACGGGUGAGUAAUGUCUGGGAAACUGCCUGAUGGAGGGGGAUAACUACUGGCAACGGUAGCUAAUACCGCAUACCAUCAGAUGUGCCCAGAUGGGAUUAGCUGGUAGGGGGGGUAACGUCGUACCUAGGCGACGAUACCUAGCUGGUCUGAGAGGAUUACCAGCCACACUGGAACUGAGACACGGCCCAGACUCCUACGGGAGGCAGCAGUGGGGAAUAUUGCACAAUGGGCGAAAGCCUGAUGCAGCCAUGCCGCGUGUGUGAAGAAGGCCUUCGGGUUGUAAAGCACUUUCAGCGGGGAGGCGUUACCCGCGGAAGAAGCACCGGCUAACUCCGUGCCAGCAGCCGCGGUAAUUC
rnacentral:rRNA from 1 species